GCCUCGGUAGUGUAAUGGAUCAGCACGGCAGACCGGAUAUCUGUAAGUGCGGGUUCAAGUUCUGCCUAAGGUU
rnacentral:tRNA from 1 species